GCAUCUUUAUUAGCCUUUUGGCUAAGAUCAAGUAGAGAAUUCCUUCUUAUGAGUUUAAUUCCUGUUACAUCAUUAAUAUGAAAAUAUAUUAAAUGGACUUUUGGAAUUAUGGUAUGAAAAAGGACAUUACACAUCCUGCCCACAUGUCAACUUAAUAUUGCAUCACUACCUGAAAUAAUUCAC